UGUAUGCACUACAAAAUACACGUCCAAACACUGACAAGGGGUUUACAAAUAGGCUUUAUGGGGCUGUCCACAGGCCCGUGGCACAUAAGUAGUUUAGAAUCUCUGCGUAUUUGGGGGUGAGGGAGGCACGUCUGGAAGCAAGCCACUGGCUUAGAGACACACCUUUAUUUAUAUAUAAAGCUUUCUUUGGUUAGUCAUUUACGCUUAUUUUCUGGGAGCUUGAAACAACCAAAGUUUGUUUUGGCCAGUAAAGUAUGUCCUAGGAAAAAGUACACUCACUCUAAGUCCUACUUCCAAGGUCUGCUCCAGAAAUUAAGCUGUCAUGUUGCCUGUCCAUAUUUUCCAUCUUCUUUUGGGAAUCAGAUGUUGGCUCUUUACUGCAAAUAAUUUGGUUCCAUUAACCAUCAGAAAAGGAGGGAUUCUGACCAGUCACUAUCUUAAUCCACACUUUGUGCUUUUUAAAGCUGUAUUCCUUAUGUACAAAGAACCCCUGAACUAGUUUCCAGUUGUGACUGGGUUCACAGGAUACUAAUGUUAACUUGCUAAAAAAAAAAUUUAAAGCCUGUCAACAAAUUAUUUGGGUAGCAGUGUUAGUUUUUUUAAAAAAAUUUUUUUAUUCAUUUUUAGAGAGAGGGAGAGAAACAUUGAUUGGUAGCCUCCCCCACGAACCCCAAGGAUCAAACCGGAAAUCUCCGUACAUGCUCUGAGUGGGAAUCUUAACUGGUGACUAUUUGGUGCAUGGGACAACGCUAGACAGAGCCACACCAGCCAGGGCUAAUAGUAUGUUUUGUGUUAAACCCAUUAUACAGAUAGGUAACUUCCUUUUUAGAUAAAAAAAAUUUGUUAAUCCCCUGAAUUCAUUUGACCAGGUAAGUCCCCUCCCCCAAAACUAAUCUUUGAAAGUGCUAUUCGCUGAUACCCAACAAUGAAAUAGCUGAUAUGGUUGCCUUUAAGCAUGUCAUUUUCCUAUUCAAUAGGAAUAGAGGAAAGGGACUAACAAAUCUCAGGUGUGACGCAGUUAUUGUGUGCAGCUCAAAAUAGUUCUCUCCCCUUCCUUUCCCUGUAGGAUUGCCUUGUAAAGUCAUAGCUCCUUAAAAAAAAAAAAUCCGUGAUUGUUCAAAUACUCUCCUUCUUACAGUUGUUCAUACUAUAUGCCCUAUUUGCAUUCCUAAAGGCUUGUUAAAAUGUUGAACUGGUUUUCAUCAAAUAUCCCAUAAAUGAGGAGUCUAAUGUUAUGGUAUCAUUUGUCAUAUUUUAAAAGUAGACAAUCUCUUCAUUGCAGUUUCAGUUUCUCAAAAAAGGAACAUUACUUGAUAAUAGUUACCUUUUCAAAAACACAUACAGGAUUGAACUGAUUUUGACUUGGUCAUUUGACCCAAGAUCCACAUUUUAAGGACCAUUGGCUUAGAGACAAAUACAUAAAGCUUUCUUUGGUUGGUCCCAGGUUAUCCUUGCAACUAAAAAGAUUUUGUAGAAUCAGAUGGAAAAUAUCUAUGGAGGUAUAACAAGAGACCAAAUUGAAUAAUUUGUACAAAAUCAUACAUUUGCUUUGAAAUUCUUGAAGUCCUGUUGUGUUAGAAAGGAGCAUCACAACCAAAUGAAAUGUGGAUGGAGAAAAACGUUUCACAAAUGCUUUAUGACUGUUAUUUAUGAUUAAAACUUACAAUUCUCUCUUGUCUUGGUUAAUGUCGACUAAAGGCCUAGGCUGAGGUAAAAGUGUUGGAGUUGGCAAACAGAACCUUUGCAGGCUCAGGACCUGAAUCAAGUUAUCAAGUUGUUAAAAAAAGAAAAGAAACUGUACUGCAAUCACACUUUGGCAAAUACCUGAUCAAAUUUGUUGGCUAAAUACAGUGAGAUGCUCCCCGAAGAUGUAGACAGAGGCUGUCUAUGUGCUUCUGUGACAAGCAGCUAGAGUUCUUAUAUAAGACUUAGUGGGACCUUGCACCAAGAACCAGUGCCAUAUGGUAGAACAUAAAAUCCAAUUAUCUGCCACUCCCUAACAAGUUUGAAAAUAUACUUGUCUAGGUCCUGGCUGGGUAACUCAUUUGGUUAGAGAGUCACCCUGAUACACCAAGGUUGCGGGUUUGGUCCCUGAUCAGGGCACCAAGAAGCAACCAAUGAAUGCACAAGUGGCACAAGAAAUCGAUGUUUCUCUCCCUAAAAUCUAUCUAUAUGCAUGCUAUAUUUGUAUAUUGCCCACAACUGCUAAAUGAUUCUGCAUAAGAAAAAAAAAAACUUAAAAAGGAGGAAGUUUUUGAAAGACUCAUCAGAUGAAAGUGAGAAACAUAAGUUUAGGAGGAACAUGUACUUUGUAAACUUUAAAACUUGAGAGGGUUGAUCUCAUGUUUCUUUUACAAAAAAAAUUUUUUUAAAGAUAAAUGCAUGGGAUUUUGUAAACAAAAAGGUAUUUUUGCAAUGUAAACUCCCUAUGCAGUCUCUCCUGUGAAACUGUAAAAUACACAUUUACUUACUAAUGCCCCACAAAGUAAAUUCUUUUGGGGGAACAUGAUUAAGUAUACAGUCUUGUUUUAAAUUUUCGCAUGAGUUUUGCCCAUGGGAUGUACAUGCAUCGAUGACCAUUUUUUUAAAAAAAAAUGUAUUUUAUUGAUUUUACAGAGAAGGGAGGACAGAGAGUUAGAAACAUCGAUCAGCUGCCUCCUGCACACCCCCCACUGGGGAUGUGCCCGCAACCAAGGUACAUGCCCUUGACCAGAAUCGAACCUGGGACCCUUCAGUCUGCAGGCCGAUGCUCUAUCCACUGAGCCAAACCGGUCAGGGCUCGAUGACCAUAUAGGUUUGAUAAUUUAUAAAAUGCUAACACCUUAUUGAAGAGUCCAUCAUCUUGAAAAUCCUAUGUCUGAUCAACCUUAUUAGUCAAGUAAUAAAAAGUAUUCAUAAUUUGUGAUCCUAUUGCAUUAAAACUUUUGACUUAGUAGUGCCAUCUUUGAAGGUUGUUUCCCAAUGAGGAGGCAAAUAAUAUCUUUCCAUUUAUUGAUGUCACAUACCCUAUUAGUAUUCCUUUUGAAUAUUGAGCAUGACAGAGACUUGGCUCACAGUUGAAGCUACUAGUUUGUUUCUCUUUAUAAUAAGAAUAUUGCCAACAUAUUUCAGAGAAUGUUGUACAACCAACUCCCCUAAUACUCAGCAGGUAAGAGUGAUAUUAAGUAAAACUCCUGGUAGAGAUGUAAGGUAAGAGUGAGAUUAAGUAAAACACAUACUAGAUGUACUAAAUAAAACUUAGUAUUUGCUAUCAGGGCUGAUAUAUAUUCUUGAAUUACAUUUUCUUCCUACAUAUAUGUCAUGAAGAUAUAAAGACCUAUACUAAUUGUAUUUAAUUAUUUGCCUGCUCAUUAGCCAGUUCUUAACAUUUGUAUUUUGACCAUCUGGUUAAACUAGCUUCUCUCUUUUCCAUAUAGGAACAGAUCGCUUGAUGAUCAACAGGCUCUUACUAGUUGCCAUUUGUUUCUUAAACAGCUUUUUGUUUACUUAGUUUGCUUAUGGAAUGAGCAAUUCCAAAUAACCUAUGCUGUUUGUCACCUAUCCACCCAAUCCUUCGUUUUGUGGGACAAAAUAAAUUUAGGAUAUUGUAUUCUGUUCUAGAGACUGAGGAGAAGAAAA